UACGUAGGGUGCAAGCGUUAAUCGGAAUUACUGGGCGUAAAGCGUGCGCAGGCGGUUUUGUAAGUCUGUCGUGAAAUCCCCGGGCUCAACCUGGGAAUUGCGAUGGAGACUGCAAGGCUAGAAUCUGGCAGAGGGGGGUAGAAUUCCACGUGUAGCAGUGAAAUGCGUAGAGAUGUGGAGGAACACCGAUGGCGAAGGCAGCCCCCUGGGCUAACACUGACGCUCAUGCACGAAAGCGUGGGGAG
rnacentral:rRNA from 1 species